GACGCCGGCACGGCCCUGAGCCGAGCCWCGGGGGCCAGCCAGAGACCGGGCCGGCGGUCGUUCGCACGAAGCGUAGAACGCUUGUUUGUGGUGCUCCGAGGCCGAAGGCCCCGUACCCCACGCGACGUUCCGUACCCAAGGGACCGAGCAUCAAGCCGCGGGUCGUCAGCCCGGAGGCCCGUCUUACGGGGCCAACGGGAUGGGACACGCGGCGUGCGCUACGUUGGCCACCCCGCGCCGCCCGCCCGCUAGGGGCAGCAGCACGGGGCGGCAGGGGGACAAUCUAACCGGCGGUCGAUACCACAGCACGGGUAUGCAGCACAGGAAAACCAACUUCGGCCGGGCGCGUGCCCGAGCCAACAAAUGAAGAGGCGCGGAUGAGAUGAUGUCGCUGCCCGAGCAGGGAUCCAUCACGCAAAACGCGCCAAACACCACUCACGCGCUCUAUA
rnacentral:misc_RNA from 1 species